CGGGGUGGAGACCGCGCUCGUACCUCAUUCGGGACGAAGAGGCCGUGGGUUCAAAUCCCGCCACCCCGA
rnacentral:tRNA from 1 species